GGGAAGUUGACUCAGUAGUAGAGUGCUUGCCUCGCAUGCAUGAGGCCCGGGGUUCGAUUCCUCAGCACCACA
rfam:Dipodomys ordii contig_21172, whole genome shotgun sequence.